GACGAACGCUGGCGGCGUGCUUAACACAUGCAAGUCGAACGGAAAGGCCCUGCUUUUGUGGGGUGCUCGAGUGGCGAACGGGUGAGUAACACGUGAGUUACCUGCCCUUGACUUUGGGAUAACUUCAGGAAACUUGGGCUAAUACCGGAUAGGAGCUCCUGCUGCAUGGUGGGUGUUGGAAAGUUUCGGCGGUUGGGGAUGGACUCGCGGCUUAUCAGCUUGUUGGUGGGGUAGUGGCUUACCAAGGCUUUGACGGGUAGCCGGCCUGAGAGGGUGACCGGCCACAUUGGGACUGGGAUACGGCCCAGACUCCUACGGGAGGCAGCAGUGGGGAAUAUUGCACAAUGGGCGGAAGCCUGAUGCAGCAACGCCGCGUGCGGGAUGACGGCCUUCGGGUUGUAAACCGCUUUCGCCUGUGACGAAGCGUGAGUGACGGUAAUGGGUAAAGAAGCACCGGCUAACUACGUG
rnacentral:rRNA from 1 species